rnacentral:rRNA from 1 species
GACGAACGCUGGCGGCGUGCCUAAUACAUGCAAGUUGAGCGCUCAAGUUUGGUACUUGUUCCAACUGGAUGAGCAGCGGACGGGUGAGUAACGCGUGGGUAAUCUGCCUUUGAGCGUGGGACAACAUUUGGAAACGAAUGCUAAUACCGCAUAAAAACUUUAAACACAAGUUUUAAUUGUGAAAGAUGCAAUUGCAUCACUCAAAGAUUAUCCCGCGUCGUAUUAGCUGGUUGGUUAGGUAAAGGCUCACCAAGGCGAUGAUGCAUAGACGACCUGAGAGGGGGAGCGCACACACAGGAACUGAGACACGGUCCAGACCCCUACGGGAGGGAGCAGUAGGGAAUCUUCCGCAAUGGGCGAAAGCCUGACGGAGCAACGGCGCGGGAGUGAUGAAGGUCUGAGGAUCGGAAAACUCUGUUAUUAGGGAAGAACAAAUGUGUAAGGAACUAUGCACGUCUUGAGGGUACCUAAUCAGAAAGCCACGGCUAACUACGUG